UGGGGAAUUUUGGACAAUGGGCGAAAGCCUGAUCCAGCAAUGCCGCGUGUGUGAAGAAGGCCUUCGGGUUGUAAAGCACUUUUGUCCGGAAAGAAAUCCUUGGCUCUAAUACAGUCGGGGGAUACGGUACCGGAAAAUAAGCNCGCUAACUACGUGCCAGCAGCCGCGGUAAUACGUAGGGUGCAAGCGUUAAUCGGAAUUACUGGGCGUAAAGCGUGCGCAGGCGGUUUGCUAAGACCGAUGUGAAAUCCCCGGGCUCAACCUGGGAACUGCAUUGGUGACUGGCAGGCUAGAGUAUGGCAGAGGGGGGUAGAAUUCCACGUGUAGCAGUGAAAUGCGUAGAGAUGUGGAGGAAUACCGAUGGCGAAGGCAGCCCCCUGGGCCAAUACUGACGCUCAUGCACGAAAAGCGU
rnacentral:rRNA from 1 species